ACCAUUUGUCCUAAGUCAAAGUUUUAUAAUUUUGACCAACUUUUUAGAAAAGAGUAGUAGUAUAUAUGACAUUAAAUUGGUAUAUUAUGAAAAUACAUUUCAAAAGGAAUCUAGUGAUACUAAUUUAGUGCCAUAAAUGCUGCUAUUUUUUCUAUAAAGUUGGUCAAAGUUUCAAAACUUUGACUUAGGACAAAAGCUA
rnacentral:pre_miRNA from 1 species